CAAACCCCACAAGCUCAAAUGGCGCCAGGGGAGGGUUAAGCUGACUGUUAGGAGAAAUUUCUGCACCGAAAGGGUUGUGCAGCACCGGGACGGGCUGCCCGGGGAAGGGGCUCAGUCGCCGUCCCGUGUAGCGGUGGCGCUGAUGGACGGGGUUUAGCGGUGGCCUCAGCAGCGUGGCGUUCACGGUUGGACUCAGCGAUCUUAAAGAUCUUUUCCAACCUCAUGGAUUCUGUGAAACCAUCCAAGUCCCGCGGAGAGAGAACAGCUCUUAUCACCACCUAGCACACGCCAGCGCCGAGGCUCCUCCGUAGGGCCCCUCUCCCUCUGCGCCGGGGAUUUGAGGGCCCAGCUCUGUUUGCUUUCCGCUUCAUGCUGUUAGCUUUUUUGGCUUUAACUGAUGCACCGUGGGAAUUGUUUAGAGAAAGAAGGAUUUCAUGCCCAUGCCAGGAGAGGAGGCAUCCGGACGGAAUGACUGACACAUGGCAGGUUUUGAGAGCACCUCGAGAUGGCAGCUGCUGCUCGUGUCUGGGGGCCUGGCAGGCCUUUCUCCGCAAAGGAUUCUUCUGUAAAUGCAGGGGUAUGCACAAAUAAACUGUCUCUUCCAGUUGAAGGAGAAGGCCUGCAGGGAUGAGUGUGCCAGGGUGACAGGAUAUCUUUUCAGGCAGCGCGAUCCCCCGAGCCCGCUCCCCGCCGACGCACGGGCCGUCAGACGCUGAUCCCCGCGGGGACGAGGACCCGCGGUGACACGGCAGCGCAGCCCCGGCCCUGGCCAGGCUGGCAGGUAGCACCCCAGGAACGGCGACGGGAAGGGGAGGGAGCCGCGGGGCCACGGCCGCCUUUGCCCGCCCCGUUGUGCCGAGCCGAGCCUAGCCAUUCCCGUGCCGCUCGGUGCGGGCUGCUGGCCGGCGCCGGAGUUGUCCAGCCGCCCGCGCCUGC